rnacentral:misc_RNA from 1 species
AAUCAAAGUUAUAAUGUAAUAGUAUAAUGUAAUGUAAUGUAAUUGUAACUUUGAUUACAUCAUUGCCUUGCAUUACAUUACGCUUUUACCAAAGUAACCUAGGAAGUACUUCUAUCGGGCACAACAUCCACACGCAUGGACUCCAGUUAUUCCAUUCACACAAUUCCUCGCUAAUCAUCAGCUCUAGAUCAUAUAUGGGCACCUAAAGCUUCAAUUAAGGAAUCAAUCCCUUGCUUUUUAGACUCUCAACUGCAUCCUUGAUAAUUUGCUCCAUGGGAAUAAAUUCUAAGCCCAAGUCCAUCAGUUUCUUAGCCCCAUCCUUAGCCCUCAACAGCCCAGGCUGGGUAUCCUUUGGCAAACUGGGAAUCUUAUAUUCGGGAUAUAGCUCUGCAACCUUGGCCACAAAGUCGCCAUAAUGAGAUAUGGCUUCAACACAUAAAUACCUACCAGAUGCUGAUGGGUUUUCAUACACCAUGAUAUGUGCCAAGGCUACAUCUUUAAAAUGAACAGAUCCCAUAAAGAAAUUCUCGUAUGUCUCUGUGCAACCUUGUAAAAGGCGCACAAGUAUCAACAUGCUUG